UACGGGGGGGGCAAGCGUUGUUCGGAAUUACUGGGCGUAAAGGGCUCGUAGGCGGCCAACUAAGUCAGACGUGAAACCCUCGGCUUAACCGGGGACUGCGUCUGAUACUGGAUGGCUUGAAUCCGGGAGAGGGAUGCAGAAUUCCGAGGUGUAGCGGUGAAAUGCGCAGAUAUCAGGAGGAACACCGAUGGCGAAGGCAGGUCUCUGGGCCAUAACUGACCGCUGAGAAGCGAAAGCAUGGGGAGCGAACAGG
rnacentral:rRNA from 1 species